GGGACAUCCUAUCCUGGCUUCUGCUGUCUCCUAGUUGGUGACAUGGUCUCCCUGGUGAGCCUUGGCCAUUCCCUGCGUGAGGCUUCCAGUUCCUGCUUCCCAGAGCAGCUUGUGUCAGGAGCUGGCUAGUGUCUGGUGUGCAGUUUGCGGGGAGGCCACUGGGGCUCUGCAGGCCCCUUUGGAGACACCACUCCCACCCUCAUGGCAUCUUGGUGCAUCCUCCACGCUGAAGAGAGAGCCCUGCCCCCUGAACAGCUGACCCUCAAGACUCCAGUUUGUCCUGGCCCACCGCACAGGGCAGCAGAAAUCAACAUGUGAAAAAAUGUGCUUGUGACCCAUUGCCGACACCCAGCCCGCCCAUGUGGACAGUGACCAGUUGUUCGCUCCCAGAAACAUCGGCCAGCUCACUGCAGGAGCAGCAGCAGCUCCUAACCGACUCAUUCAGCUCCCUCCCUGGUUUAUCUCAUGCUGCAUGGCUCCUCUAUGAAGCGACCUGGCUGAUGGGGCUGGGCUGGGCUAGGAGCCCAGCACUCCAGACUCAGAAUGCUGUUGCAGCUGGGAUUUAAGUGCUUUUAACCAGUCAGCAUUCUGAAGAACUUGAGGACCUCUUACGCUGUGCUAAAGCUGGAAUAUUUGGGAAUUUGGAGAAUGAAGGUUGUAUGGCUGCUUGUCUUCUCUGAAAAUGUUUCUCCCAAGAACCUAGUGGAAUCUACAGGAGGGCUGUGGUUCAGUGUAUGAGAAGGGGCUUUUGGUAAU